UGGGGAAUAUUGCGCAAUGGGGGGAACCCUGACGCAGCCAUGCCCGCGUGAAUGAAGAAGGCCUUCGGGUUGUAAAGUUCUUUCGGUAUUGAGGAAGGUUGAUGUGUUAAUAGCACAUCAAAUUGACGUUAAAUACAGAAGAAGCACCGGCUAACUCCGUGCCAGCAGCCGCGGUAAUACGGAGGGUGCGAGCGUUAAUCGGAAUAACUGGGCGUAAAGGGCACGCAGGCGGUUAUUUAAGUGAGGUGUGAAAGCCCCGGGCUUAACCUGGGAAUUGCAUUUCAGACUGGGUAACUAGAGUACUUUAGGGAGGGGUAGAAUUCCACGUGUAGCGGUGAAAUGCGUAGAGAUGUGGAGGAAUACCGAAGGCGAAGCNAGCCCCUUGGGAAUGUACUGACGCUCAUGUGCGAAAGCGUGGGGAGCAAACAGGAUUAGAUACCCUGGUAGUCCACGCUGUAAACGCUGUCGAUUUGGGGGUUGGGGUUUAACUCUGGCGCCCGUAGCUAACGUGAUAAAUCGACCGCCUGGGGAGUACGGCCGCAANUUA
rnacentral:rRNA from 1 species